rnacentral:rRNA from 1 species
CUGGCGGCAGGCCUAACACAUGCAAGUCGAGCGGUAACAGAAAGUAGCUUGCUACUUUGCUGACGAGCGGCGGACGGGUGAGUAAUGCUUGGGAACAUGCCUUGAGGUGGGGGACAACAGUUGGAAACGACUGCUAAUACCGCAUAAUGUCUACGGACCAAAGGGGGCUUCGGCUCUCGCCUUUAGAUUGGCCCAAGUGGGAUUAGCUAGUUGGUGAGGUAAUGGCUCACCAAGGCGACGAUCCCUAGCUGGUUUGAGAGGAUGAUCAGCCACACUGGGACUGAGACACGGCCCAGACUCCUACGGGAGGCAGCAGUGGGGAAUAUUGCACAAUGGGCGCAAGCCUGAUGCAGCCAUGCCGCGUGUGUGAAGAAGGCCUUCGGGUUGUAAAGCACUUUCAGUCAGGAGGAAAGCGUGGUGGUUAAUACCCAUCAUGUGUGACGUUACUGACAGAAGAAGCACCGGCUAACUCCGUGCCAGCAGCCGCGGUAAUACGGAGGGUGCGAGCGUUAAUCGGAAUUACUGGGCGUAAAGCGUACGCAGGCGGUUUGUUAAGCGAGAUGUGAAAGCCCCGGGCUCAACCUGGGAACUGCAUUUCGAACUGGCAAACUAGAGUGUGAUAGAGGGUGGUAGAAUUUCAGGUGUAGCGGUGAAAUGCGUAAAGAUCUGAAGGAAUACCGAUGGCGAAGGCAGCCACCUGGGUCAACACUGACCGCUCAUGUACGAAAGCGUGGGGAGCAAACGGGAUUAGAUACCCCGGUAAUCCACGCCGUAAACGAUGUCUACUAGAAG